UCUUCAGGUGUUUAAUGAGCCUGAUAUGGUGGCCUCCAGCAUUUUGCUUGUUUGUCUGUGAAUUACCUGUCCUCAGGAGAUGCUUUCUUUCCAAAAUAUUCCUUAAAUAAUUUGUGGUGUUGUCUUUUUGUUUUUUUUGUUUUGUGUUCAUUCCACCCUGGUUGUUGCAUGCACAUGCAGGAGCUUACAUUGCGUAGUGAAUCCACAAGGUCUGCAGGGGGCCCGGUGUCUCUGAUGGAGCUCCACUUUGAUGACGAAGACGACAGUGAAAAUGUGUUCCUCAGUGAAAUUCGGCCUCCUGAUGGUUUAGAUGCUGCAGCUGUCUCUAAUGAGCUCUGUCAAGCACCUACAGUGUCCGGACCAACAGGAGACACAGCAUGGGACACAGAUGACCUUGAUGAGCUGCUCGGGGAGUUACCUGUGGAUGCAUAUGACGGAUUACAUUAAUCACAAGGCCACUUUAAAUACAAAGUAUAGUUGUAGAGCCUGUCUCAUAUUAAUACAUAUUAUCACCAUACACACUAAUGAACAAGCAACACCUGCUACCCAGAAUACUUUUUAGUUUUUGUGUAAACCUUUGUAAAUAUGUACGUGAAUCACUUGUCUCAUGCAUAGAUUGAAAGAAUAAAUACCCGAUGAGACCCAUAAAUGAUGUUCACUUAUUGAGUCUUGCUGACAAAUGCCACAUGCUUUUGUAGCUAGUCUUAGAUGGGUUGAAGAAACAUGUCUGUACACAUCAAUGUUAAUUUCAUGCUGAAAUUAACCAGUAAUCUGAUGUGGGGUUUUUUGGCAAGCUUUCCUUGUGAAUUUAAAUCAGCCAAUAAGGCUACAGUUUGCCAGCUGGAUUCCCCCUUAAAGGACUCAAAUGGCAUAAUUAGUCAUUUUUGAUGCACUAGCAGAGUGGCUGGCAUAAUGGGGUUUGUUCAAGCUGUUUAAAAGCUUUUCCAUGUCUUUCCGCAAGACGUCUUGAGUGGUUGACAUUAUUUGAGCAUUGCAUUGAUUAUAAUUGGAAGUCCCUGCCUGUUUCUUUGUCUUUCACCGCCAUCUUUUCAAUUUACAUUUUUACCUGUCUUGAUUAAUCUUCAUAUUUUAUGAAUUGCUCUGUACUGUCUUGGUCUCACAGUCUCAACAGCAUGUCGCUCUGUGUAUUAUUGAUUUCUAGAUUAGGUUUAUUCACUGUGAGUGAUUAUAAAGUCAUGAAGGUGCAAUUACUUAUUCAGUCAUCCCUGGCGUACCUUGUGUAGAAUAAUUAGUUGAUUAAAUAUUAAAACUCCUGUCCCC
rnacentral:lncRNA from 1 species